UUACGGGAGGCAGCAGUGAGGAAUUUUGCGCAAUGGCCGCAAGGCUGACGCAGCAACGCCGCGUGGGUGAAGAAGGCCUUCGGGUCGUAAAGCCCUGUCAGGUGGGAAGAAUGUCCCUGACUCUAACAUAGUCGGGGAGUGACGGUACCACCAGAGGAAGCACCGGCUAACUCCGUGCCAGCAGCCGCGGUAAUACGGAGGGUGCAAGCGUUAUUCGGAAUUACUGGGCGUAAAGCGCGUGCAGGCGGGCCAGCAAGUCUGAUGUGAAAGCCCCGGGCUUAACCUGGGAAGUGCAUUGGAAACUGUUGGUCUUGAGUGUUGGAGAGGAAGGGGGAAUUCCCGGUGUAGAGGUGAAAUUCGUAGAGAUCGGGAGGAAUACCAGUGGCGAAGGCGCCCUUCUGGACGACAACUGACGCUGAGACGCGAAAGCGUGGGGAGCAAACAGGAUUAGAUACCCCGGU
rnacentral:rRNA from 1 species